rnacentral:rRNA from 1 species
UACGUAGGGUCCGAGCGUUGUCCGGAAUUAUUGGGCGUAAAGGGCUCGUAGGCGGUCUGUUGCGUCGGGAGUGAAAACUUACAGCUUAACUGUGAGCGUGCUUUCGAUACGGGCAGACUUGAGGCAUUCAGGGGAGAACGGAAUUCCUGGUGUAGCGGUGAAAUGCGCAGAUAUCAGGAGGAACACCAAUAGCGAAGGCAGCUCGCUGGGACGUUACUGACACUAAGGCGCGAAAGCGUGGGGAGCGAACAGG